UUUGUGUAGCACUGUAUAGAUUAACCUAGUUCUAUUUUAGGUUACUCCAGCCACUCCUAGCUGCGACAACAAAGCGCCUUCUCUGCAAUCACGUUUCUAACCCCACAAAAAAGGAAAAGUUGAAUGAAGCCGACUUUUGAAACAUAUUCCUCCCACUCCCCUGCCCCAAAAGCCUGCAGAGCAAGCCAGAACCUUGGCACCACGUGCCCGGACGGAGCCACACUGCAGCCAGCCCAGCACCGGCGGGGUGGCAGGGGCCGCAGCUAUGCCGGCUGCCUCUCCCAUCAGCUCCCCAGGCAACUGGAAACACCGCCUGAUCCUCAGCGUGGGAAGAUCUGAGACGCGAGAUUAGCGGAGAAGGAACUACAACCAGACAACAGCGUCCGCCCGGGCUACUGCCGUGCUAAACGCGCUCUGCUCUGCACAGCGUGUGGAUCUGGACGCAACAUCUCCUGGAGGACAAUGGGUGACGGUCACUCCCAGAUGAAGCUCCAGGACUUAAAAUGAAGCUCUAUGAACAAAUUUUGCUGCUGGUGGAGGUUGCUGAGGUCACCAGGACAACCCCAGCGCUGUAGGAUUCCUGUGCACUCACAGCACUUGCUGUGAUCCCAAAGCCUUUUGUAUUCCUACAAGCUCCAUGCUAGAAGACCUGGAAUUGAAUAGUAAUGAUUUAUAUGCAGGAAAACAAAUCAAGAACAACUUGUGUUAAGUGUUUUAACUGUUGCUGUUUCCAGGGUCAUAUCAAGCUUUCUGAAUGAGAUCCAAAAUUUCUGAGUGCUUGGUUAGGCAGUGCUGCCAAACACCACAUUAAAAUGUAAGAAUAGGGUGCAUCAGUUGUAAUUUCUUCUUAUCUUUGCACCCUAGAAGGCAAUUUAAUGUGAGGAAGCUAUUGCUUCCGCCCUGCUUAAGGUUUGAUCUGGAUUACUUUUUUCAAUUUUUGGUUUGAGGUGGUGUCAUAUUUUGCUCUGUCACGUAUUGCAAGUGACUUGUCAAGUAAAAGAUCUUGCUGGCCAAGCAGAAGAAAGCUAAAUGUCCUUCCAGCUGUCAAACUCGGAUCCUCUGUGUACUGAGCACUGGGCACCUGGGGCUGCCCUUUGUCCCACUACACUUGGUCCUUUACAACUUGUGAGUUGCCACAGGAACUUGUGAUUCAAAUGCAUGAAAUGGAGUCUGUAAUUUACACCUGGCCAAUUAUGACCUCCCAGUGCCAAGCCCAUCACUGUAGUUUAGAGGGAAAAUGUUUCUAUCAUGUCACUACUCUUUGAAAUAACCUUUAGGAGUAAACCUUCAUUCAGUUGUAAUGCAUAGGAGAGAAAGGAAAUCUCAAAACAAAGGCACAAUGCUCAAUAGUUUUCAAUAACAAAAAGCAGUUGUGAAGUUGUGCUGUAGUCUGGAGAGAAGUUAAUCUAGUGAUUAUAAAUGAUUUUUCCCCUCAUAGUAAUGCAUAAGAGAAAGUGAAGAACAAUAUGUCAAUGACUAAACAGCUGUAUUGAAUCACUGUGUUGGAGAAGCUGUAGAUUUCACUGUCUUCUUUACCACAGUUUUCCUCUCUUCAUUGAGACAAAUGGAGUACAGGAAGCCUGGAUCCUGACUCUUCUUGUGUUUCAUAUUGUCAGUUAAAGAGGCAAUAUGAAUUUCUCCCAGCAAGCCACCCUGCUAGGCAUUCUCCCUGGCAGGGGGACUACAGCUGCAGAAUGGCUGCUGUUCUGUACUGCAUGGCAUGUGUGCAGAAUAACCUUGAGCAUAGUGCAGUUGAUAUCCUGAGAUUGUUAUCCAGGUUUGACCACUGUGGGGUCAAAUGACAGCACUGGAUUGUGCCUUGCAUUUCAUGAAAAUGCAACUUUUGCUUCUACCACAAGUAGAGAAGUUCACCAGAAAUGAGAGUUAAGCACCUGUCCUGCACUGUGGAUUUCUGAGAUUCUGUGCUGCCUGGGGGUGCAGUUCUGAGCCCCAUAUUAAGUGCCAGUGAGCUCUCUCCACAGAGUGGGUAGACAAAACAAAUCCUUUUCCUGCUGAAGACCAAGGACAACUUUGAGGCCCAAACAUAUAAACAAUGGUGGACUGAAGGGAGGAACAAGAAGGAUGGGACCUCACAGCCUGAAGCUGUAAUUGAACAAUUAAACCCCAAUAUGCAAAUGAACCAAAACUUAUAAAAGUGUAAGACCUUGUGACCAGUCAGCCAUUGUGUAACCAUUCUUAGUCCAUCCUGGGUGUAGCCCUGGUCAGGCUCCUGUCCUGCCCAAGGUGUAUCCUAGAGGCCUUUCAAUAAAUAUCUACUU